ensembl:snRNA U6 U6 spliceosomal RNA
GUGCUGGCUUUGACAGUACAUAUGCUAAAAUUGGAACAAUACAAAGAAGAUGAGCAUAGCCCCUGAGCAAAGAUUAUGUGCAAAUUCAUGAAGCAUUCCAUAUUUAA